GGGGAAUUUUCCGCAAUGGGCGAAAGCCUGACGGAGCAAUACCGCGUGAGGGAGGAAGGCUCUUGGGUUGUAAACCUCUUUUCUCAGGGAAGAAUGAUGACGGUACCUGAGGAAUAAGCAUCGGCUAACUCCGUGCCAGCAGCCGCGGUAAUACGGAGGAUGCAAGCGUUAUCCGGAAUGAUUGGGCGUAAAGCGUCCGCAGGUGGCAAUGUAAGUCUGCUGUCAAAGCGUCUGGCUCAACCAGAUAAAGGCAGUGGAAACUACAUAGCUAGAGUAAGGUAGGGGUAGAGGGAAUUCCUGGUGUAGCGGUGAAAUGCGUAGAGAUCAGGAAGAACACCGGUGGCGAAAGCGCUCUGCUGGACCUUAACUGACACUGAGGGACGAAAGCUAGGGGAGCGAAUGGGAUUAGAUACCCCAGUAGUCCUAGCCGUAAACGAUGGAUACUAGGCGUUGCCCGUAUCGACCCGGGCAGUGUCGUAGCUAACGCGUUAAGUAUCCCGCCUGGGGAGUACGCAGGCAACUGUGAAACUCAAAGGAAUUGACGGGGGCCCGCACAAGCGGUGGAGUAUGUGGUUUAAUUCGAUGCAACGCGAAGAACCUUACCAGGGCUUGACAUGUCCGGAAUCCUCUUGAAAGGGAGGAGUGCCUUCGGGAGCCGGAACACAGGUGGUGCAUGGCUGUCGUCAGCUCGUGUCGUGAGAUGUUGGGUUAAGUCCCGCAACGAGCGCAACCCUCGUUCUUAGUUGCCAUCAUUAAGUUGGGAACUCUAAGGAGACUGCCGGUGACAAACCGGAGGAAGGUGGGGAUGACGUCAAGUCAGCAUGCCCCUUACGCCCUGGGCUACACACGUACUACAAUGCUAUGGACAAAGGGCAGCAAGCCAGCGAUGGCAAGCAAAUCUCGUAAACCAUGGCUCAGUUCAGAUCGCAGGCUGCAACUCGCCUGCGUGAAGUCGGAAUCGCUAGUAAUUGCAGGUCAGCAUACUGCAGUGAAUUCGUUCCCGGGCCUUGUACACACCGCCCGUCACACCAUGGAAGCUGGUCACGCCCGAAGUCGUUACCCUAACCUUUCGAGGAGGGGGACGCCGAAGGUAGGACUGGUGACUGGGGUGAAGUCGUAACAAGGUAGCCGUACCGGAAGGUGUGGCUGGAUCACCUCCU
rnacentral:rRNA from 1 species